AGGCGACGACGGGUAGCCGGCCUGAGAGGGCGACCGGCCACACUGGGACUGAGACACGGCCCAGACUCCUACGGGAGGCAGCAGUGGGGAAUAUUGCGCAAUGGGCGGAAGCCUGACGCAGCGACGCCGCGUGAGGGAUGACGGCCUUCGGGUUGUAAACCUCUUUCAGCUCUGACGAAGCGAGAGUGACGGUAGGAGCAGAAGAAGCACCGGCCAACUACGUGCCAGCAGCCGCGGUAAUACGUAGGGUGCAAGCGUUGUCCGGAAUUAUUGGGCGUAAAGAGCUCGUAGGCGGUUUGUCGCGUCGAAUGUGAAAACCCGGGGCUCAACCCCGGGCCUGCAUUCGAUACGGGCAGACUAGAGUUCGGUAGGGGAGUCUGGGAUU
rnacentral:rRNA from 1 species